UUUACUCUACUGCUCUGCCAAGAAUAAAAAUUUACGCAAGCUGAAAUAUUGGUUAGUCAUCUAGUCACGCUACAUUUAAGCCUACUCCUACUACGGUGUAUGAAGUAAUCCAAGAAGGUCUCACUACACUGAAGUCAGUACCGACUCCGAGACCGAGUACGUCAAUUCUUCAGUACUCUACUGGAAGCCAAUCGAUGCGGACUACAAGUCUCUGGCCUCUCCUUGAAAUCUAGCAACAAAAUUCAUUGGUUCUGAAACAGCGUUCCAGUUUGAACCAAGGAGAUGAUGAAAUCCGGCCAGUUAAAAGUAAUGUAUCUGAUAGUGGCCGCGCUGACUUCAGUAGCGCACACAGAAAACGUUACCAAUGAAGACGUAAUUGAACCCGCUGGGAACUUUCACCGGCCCAGAAGCUUUAGAUUUUUUAACCCGGAAAAACCGGUCGUAAAGGGACUUGAAAAGACUAAGGUGUUUGGUGUUAUGAUGAAAUACAAAAUCGAAAGCAUUGCCUAUGGCAUCGAAUUCUUUACAAACCUGCUGGAUCCCAUUUUCAGCAAACUAGAAAAUGAUUCUUCAUCGAUUAAGACCAGGUUUCCUUAUCGAAUAAUGCCGCAUAGCCAAUCAGUAGCAGUUCCCUGCAGGAAAGGCUUUCUGAAUUGUGUUGAUUUUCUGUCAUCAGCAUACGCAUCACAUGGAUUGACAAUAAAAGCCUGGCUACGUAGUCAAGAUAAUGGCACUCAAAUGGCUUUCAAUAGAACCUGCACGACUUUGAAAAACAAGAAAAAGUACACGGAUACCUAUCUGAACUGGACAGGUUGCCUAGAAACCGACCCGCUGGUUUCUGGGAGUCCUAAGCCACCAGAUUUAAGAAGCACUAAUGCAUCUCAAAUAGUCUACGAUUAUAAAUUCCUCUUAACAUCUAUGCAAUUCAUGUGCUGGUAUACGACACACAAAGUAAAGUAUCUCAAUGUAUCGAAGCCUUGCUCCUAUAAUCAUCUUAACCCCAGUGACUGCGCUUUUGGAGCCUUCUGUCCUAAACCAUGCUGGAACCUAGGCUCUAACAAGGAUAUCUGCACAAGUAAUGGAAGUACGGGAAAAUGCUAUGUCAAGUUUGAAGACAAUAGGAACUUCCACCAUCUCCUUACAGAAUCCAUUAAUGUUACCUGCAUUUGCAAAGAAGGCUAUGUACACGAAAAAAGGGCACAAAAUUGUGUUGGGCAGUACUACUAUAAGGAGCUGAAUCACUCUUGUGACCCACUAACACAAGACCCUUUAUACGUCCCAAACCAUGUACUAUGCCGCUGUAAAAUAGGCUACUUCUGGGACAAAAAUAAGACUAUAUGCAAGAGUAUCGAGGAGAAGCCUGAUUCUACAGGUCUUACGCAAAAUAUAUUUGAGUCAUUCAUCAACUUCGCUAAACACCACGCACUGUCAGACCUGGUAGACUAUUAUUACGGGUUAAUACUUGCACUGUUCUGAAGAGAAGAGGUACUGUUAACUCCCUUUCAUUUAUGCAAAAAAGUUUUCAAAUCUGUUAGACUAUUAUACGCAGUGUUUGAAGAAAAGGUAUUGUUAAUUCGCUUUCAGUUUUGCAAAAAAAAAAAAAAAAAAAAAAAAAAUAUGGAAUAAUUUUUGACAUUCCCAAAAACCAAUCUGUGUGAGCAUAAAGCAUAAAAAUGAUUUUGAGUUAGGAGCUUGAGUAAUGUUGCUUUAGGAUUGACAUAAUCUCUCAACUUUGAAUUAUGGAAUUGCAAAGUUGACGAAGUCGGCAAGAAAGUGGACCUUGAAAGCAAAGGUCAGUUUGUAAUAAUAAUAAUGAACAUUUUUUAUUGAUUUUCAGACAAAAAAAUGUGACGUCAUCCAUCACUAGCUGAAAUGGGUGUAUGGAAAUAGUCACAACAGCAUGAUAAUAUAGGGAAUUCCGUUAACUAAUUUUAUGUUCAGCAACUAUUACGAUGCAUUUAAGCAAGAUUAAAUGCUUCCGUACAGCUUUAACUUUUCCACGGAGUAAUAGAACAUCCAAAACGUAAUGUGGGCAAUUGUUAACUUGGUUCGCUCAAAAGAAUGUGCUUUUCGUUUAUUUCUUGACUUGAAUUCAAGUCACGUUGUAUGUAUUUUGUGACGCCUCAAAUGCUUCCUACGACAUGUAAAAUGAUUCUACAUGGCCUUUACAAUUAAAAGGACGCGCCUCUUCUUUACUGCAAUCAGCUUAACUUCCUUCGAAAAGAAACAUCAUCAUGUAAGCACUUACAUUUACAUCAAAAUGCAGCUGAAAAGUCUUGGCGUUAUAAUUACCUCACUCUUACUGUAAACAACAACUAAAAGAUACUAAGAGGAUUGGCCAUCACGUUCAGAUGGCGUCAAAAGCUUAAAAGAAGUCUAUACAGUACAGAAUAUCUAAAUUUAUGAUGUUAAGUAUUAUUAAAAGAAAACUGUUAAUCCCCUGCUUUCCAAUAACAAGGAUUUAAGUUACUUCAUAUGAUUACAUUCUAGGAAUUAACUUUAUAGAAAGGUCCCCUGGAUCAGUCAUUUUCAUUAAUAAAAACGUUUUGAGU